GUGCUCGCUUCAGUAGCAUAUAUACUAAAAUUGGAACGAAAUACAGAAGAUUAACAUGGCCCCUGCAUAAGGAAGACAUACAAAUCCGUGAAGUGUUCCAUAUCUUU
ensembl:snRNA U6 U6 spliceosomal RNA